rnacentral:rRNA from 1 species
CCUACGGGAGGCAGCAGUGGGGAAUAUUGCGCAAUGGGCGAAAGCCUGACGCAGCAACGCCGCGUGGGGGAUGAAGGCCUUCGGGUUGUAAACCUCUUUCAGCAGGGAAGAAGCGAAAGUGACGGUACCUGCAGAAGAAGCACCGGCUAACUACGUGCCAGCAGCCGCGGUAAUACGUAGGGUGCAAGCGUUGUCCGGAUUUAUUGGGCGUAAAGAGCUCGUAGGCGGUUAGUCACGUCGGAUGUGAAAUCCCGGAGCUUAACUCCGGGCCUGCAUUCGAUACGGGCUGACUCGAGUGUUGUAGGGGAGACUGGAACUCCUGGUGUAGCGGUGAAAUGCGCAGAUAUCAGGAAGAACACCGGUGGCGAAGGCGGGUCUCUGGGCAACUACUGACGCUGAGGAGCGAAAGCGUGGGGAGCAAACAGGAUUAGAUACCCUGGUAGUCCACGCCGUAAACGGUGGGCGCUAGGUGUGGGGAACAUUCCACGUUCUCUGCGCCGCNGCUACGCAUAGACGCCCGCCGUCGGGAGGUACGGCCGGCGAACGGACGUAAACGUUAAACGGUAAAGUUAAGGUACGGCGUUGAGACGUUGCCGAACGGCGACGACGAGGGAGGAGG